CAAACACUGCCUUCUGGACAGGACAACACCAAUGGACAGGAACAGGACAAUGCACAUGGAUGAGGAGAAGCCCGCCCAGGCCUCCUCUGCCUCCUCCGCCCCCCGCGGAUGGACCUCAGGCUUCCACAGGAUGGGGAAAGAACCCCCAGGAUCCUGGGCUUCCCAUCGGUCUGGCCGACCCAGCUGGAUGGACACUGGGACAGGGAUUAAC